rnacentral:rRNA from 1 species
GACGAACGCUGGCGGCGUGCCUAAUACAUGCAAGUAGAACGCACAGUUUAUACCGUAGCUUGCUACACCAUAGACUGUGAGUUGCGAACGGGUGAGUAACGCGUAGGUAACCUGCCUGGUAGCGGGGGAUAACUAUUGGAAACGAUAGCUAAUACCGCAUAAUAUUAAUUAUUUCAUGAUAAUUAAUUGAAAGGUGCAAUUGCACCACUACCAGAUGGACCUGCGUUGUAUUAGCUAGUAGGUGAGGUAACGGCUCACCUAGGCGACGAUACAUAGCCGACCUGAGAGGGUGAUCGGCCACACUGGGACUGAGACACGGCCCAGACUCCUACGGGAGGCAGCAGUAGGGAAUCUUCGGCAAUGGACGAAAGUCUGACCGAGCAACGCCGCGUGAGUGAAGAAGGUUGUCGGAUCGUAAAGCUCUGUUGUAAGAGAAGAACGGGUGUGAGAGUGGAAAGUUCACACUGUGACGGUAUCUUACCAGAAAGGGACGGCUAACUACGUG